UACGUAGGGAGCAAGCGUUGUCCGGAAUCAUUGGGCGUAAAGCGCGCGUAGGUGGCUUCGUAAGUCCGUUGUGAAAGUCAAAGGCUCAACCUUUGAAAGCCGAUGGAUACUGUGAAGCUAGAGUACGGAAGAGGCGAGUGGAAUUCCUGGUGUAGCGGUGGAAUGCGCAGAUAUCAGGAGGAACACCAAUAGCGAAGGCAGCUCGCUGGGACGUUACUGACACUGAGGACGAAAGCGUGGGGAGCGAACAGG
rnacentral:rRNA from 1 species